CACCAUCGCUUCUACCGAUGUGGUUGUUAAAAAGCUAGCUGUGUGCAAAACCAGCAAAUUGAGCAAUGGCAGAUUGCUCAAAAGGGAACAACUGAUUUCUACGUUGACACUACGGGCAUAACUUUUGACAAAUUUCGUUUGAUACGGCCGAACUUUAUAAAUUUUUCAACAGAGUUAAAGACACAACUGAAGGCGUCACACAAUAUGGCUCAACCUCAAGUAAAGUCGGUAGCUGCUGCGAAGAUAGUUAGUAAAAAGUUAAUCAUAGUAACUGGAUUUGGACCAUUUGUUGGUCAUGAAGACUUGAACGCCAGUUGGGAAGCUGUACGUCUUUUGCCAGAUGAGAUUACUUGGCAUGGUCACCAUUAUACGCUAGAGAAACGGGAGAUACCAGUUGAGUAUGAUGCGGUGGACAAAGCUGUCGAAGAAAUAUGGUCACACAACCCACAACUUGUUAUACAUUGUGGCGUUCAUGGUAGUGCAAGUUGUAUACAUGUAGAGAAGUUGGCAUAUAAUCAUAAAUUCACAAGACCGGACUAUGCUCGUCAACAUCUGCCAAAGUCUUCAGCAUGUUUAGUGAAUUGUAACACCACUAUAAAUGAUAAUUAUAUCUUACAUUGUGGGUUAGAUGUGGAUAAAAUCGUUCAAGUGGUUGCUGAAUCAUGUGAGUGCACACCAACUGCUACAGAAGAUGCUGUACGAAGUACUGUGAAUGUAGAACCAGUGGCGUUUACAGUUCUUAAAAGUUCAAAUGACGUCGGCAAUUAUUUGUGUGGAUACAUAUAUCUAAAAUCUCUUGAUAGAAAUAGGAAUCGCACUUUAUUCAUACAUGUACCACCUAUAAAUUGCCCAUUCACAUCAGAAGAAACGAAGGAGGUGGUGUUGCGAAUAAUUGAAGAAUGUAUUCGGCAAGUUAUGGAAAACGGGAAAGAAGAUUGUUAAAAUAUUUAUUAACAUUUGCUAUACAUUUGUGUCUUAUAAUUUUAUCAGAUGAUAAAAUUGAAAAUCUUUGUAAUUUAUAUAGUGUAACAAAGUAUUAUAACCAGAGAAUGUAUGUUUUAUCAAUUUUUUAAGUAAAGUUUAAAUAGUAAAAUAUAAGUGAUAUUUUACUUUUCAUUGCAAUCAACCAUAUAUAGUAGGGUCCUGCUGUUAGUUAUGUAUUAUUAGUGGUAUAAUCAUUUAUAAAUGCAUUUCCUUUAAAUAAAUGUAUAAACAAAUAAAAUAGCAGAGAACGUAAAUUAUGAUAUACGUUCUCUACAUAUAUUUUUCGGAAUACAAAAUAAAUUGGCAACACUUACAUGCUCAAUCCACAAAUAAUUUGGCAGCACUAAGUGUUGUUAUUGUCAGAGAACGUAAAUUAUUAUAACUUUUAUAUUUUACGUUCUCUGUUCCCACCUUCCAUAAAUAUUCAUAUAUUAGAAAAUUUGCAUCGAAGUUUUGUGUUGAAAAUAACCGUGAAAUAGAUAAAUUAUUUAAAUCAUGACACGACACGCUCGUAAUUGCACAGCCGGUGCAGUAUAUACCUAUAAUGAAAAGCGGCGUGAUGCCGCAGAAUCAGGCUAUGGCACCAAAGCACAACGGCUUGGAAAAGAUUCGGUUAAGUCUUUCGAUUGUUGUUCGCUAACAUUACAACCUUGUCGUAAUCCUGUGAUAACGAAAGAAGGCUACCUUUUUGACAAGGAAGCUAUUUUGCAAUAUAUAAUUACAAAGAAAAAUGAAUACAGUCGUAAAUUGAAGGAGUACGAACGUUUGCGCCGUCUCGAGGAGACAGAGAACGCGCAGGAGUUGAAUCUUAAACAACAAAAAUGCAUUGAAAAGUUUGUAAACGCUGGUAAACCAGUCAAUGAGAGUGCCAGUGAUAAAAAAUCUGCAGACGUAAUUGCUAUAAGUCCAAGCACUUCUGCAGCUGCCGUAGCUGCUGCUGGUGGCUCUAUCUCUAACAUGGCCAAUGGCAAUGAAAAGAAGUUACCUAGUUUCUGGGUGCCAUCUGAGUGCCCAAAUGCUGGUGCUGCAAAAGCAAACAAACCUGAUUCAACCAUUUAUUGCCCAGUAUCCGAGAAGCCUUUAAAAGUGAAAGAUUUAAUAAAUGUAAAAUUUACGCUAAUCAAAGAUGGUGAUAAUAGCCGUUCACUUAUAGCAAAAGAAGCGCGUUACAUGUGUCCCGUAACACAUGAUGUGCUCAGCAAUGCUGUACCCUGCGCUGUGUUGCGACCAACUGGCGAUGUGGUUACUAUGGAAUGCGUUGAGAAAUUAAUUAAGAAAGAUAUGAUACAUCCUUUGACGAAUCAGAAAUUAUCGGAAAAGGAUAUUAUACCCUUACAGAGAGGUGGCACCGGCUAUGCUAUGACCAAUGAUAAUUUAAAUGCCAAGGAAAAGCGUCCAAUGCUGCAAGUUUAGAUUUAAAAUCAAAUAUUUGUUAGUUUCAAAUUAAUAUUUUAAGUGUCUCGUGUUCAAUAAAAAAAACUUCUAA